rnacentral:rRNA from 1 species
UAGGGAAUCUUCCGUAAUGGGCGAAAGCUUGACGGAGCAACGCCGCGUGAGUGAUGAAGGUCUUCGGAUCGUAAAACUCUGUUAUUAGGGAAGAACAAAUGUGUAAGUAACUAUGCACGUCUUGACGGUACCUAAUCAGAAAGCCACGGCUAACUACGUGCCAGCAGCCGCGGUAAUACGUAGGUGGCAAGCGUUAUCCGGAAUUAUUGGGCGUAAAGCGCGCGUAGGCGGUUUUUUAAGUCUGAUGUGAAAGCCCACGGCUCAACCGUGGGGGGUCAUUGGAAACUGGAAAACUUGAGUGCAGAAGAGGAAAGUGGAAUUCCAUGUGUAGCGGUGAAAUGCGCAGAGAUAUGGAGGAACACCAGUGGCGAAGGCGACUUUCUGGUCUGUAACUGACGCUGAUGUGCGAAAGCGUGGGGAUCAAACAGG